ACUGGAAAUUAGUUAACAAAUUUAAUAAAGCCCACUUAGCAAAUCAUAUAAUCCUCCCAUUGAAAGUAUAAAAAUGUAGUAGAUUUACAAAAUGGUGAAACCAUUAUUAUAAAUAAGCUUAACAUUUGCAUCACCAAAAUAUUUUUGAAGCACAAUAUUUAUUGGCCUACAUUAAUUCUGGGAAAUAAUAGGAUUCAUAGAUAAAUUCUCAAGCAUGUUGUGUAUGUUUCACAACUGUUGUUAUCUACUUCACAAUUUAUUUAGCCAUUCAUCUGUUCAAAUACCUUUAGGCUACAUCCUGGCUAUUGAGAGCAGUGCUGCAAUAAGCCCAGGUUUACAGCUAUCUUUUUCAUAUAUUGAUUUCAUUUCCUACAGAUGUGUACCCAACAAUAAUAUAUCUGGUUUGUAUGGCAUUUUUACUUUCAAUUAUGAAGUUUAUUCAGUAGCUGUACUGUUUACACUUUCACCAAAAGUGUGCAAGAAUUUCUUCUUUACAUCUUCGAUGGCAUUUGCCAUUAUGUAUUAUUAUUAUUAUUAUUAUUAUUAUUAUUAUUAUUAUUAUUAUUAUUCCACCACUCAUAGCCAUUCUAAUUGGAGUGAGGUGUUAUCUCAUUAUAGAUUUGUGUUUUCAUUUUCUGAUGUCUAAUGAUAUUGAGUGUUUUCUUUAUAAAUUAAUAUUAAUUUAUUUCUUCUCUAGAAGAGAGUCUACUUAGAUCUUCUACACAGUUUUAAUUGGAUUGCUUGUUUGCUAUUGUUUACAUGUUAUGGCUGUUAGUCCCUUUUCAUAGAGCUGGCACACACUUCUCUCAUUGAUAGGCUGUUUCUUCACUCUGCUGAAGAAUUGCUGAAGUUUCAACAUUCAAAAAAAGUUUGAUAUGUUCUAAUAGUCUUGGUAAUGUUUUCCUUGUUCUUUGCAGGCUUAUACAGAAAAUUAUUGCAUAAACCCAUAUCACAAAGUGUUUAGCCAUGCUUUUCUCUAGUAGUUGUAGAGUUUAAGGUUUUUGAUCAAUUUUAAAAUGAUUUUCAUACAAGGUGAUAGAUAGGUGUGCAGAUUUAAUCUUUUGCCUAAGGAUAUACAGCUUCCCCAGGACUACUUGUAACAGAGGCCAACCUUUUUUCAGUGUAUAUACUUUUUGUAUGUUUGCCUAAAAUCAGGUGGUGGCUGAAAAUUUAUUGUGUCUUAUGUUUUCUAUUCUAUUUCAUUAGUCUAUGUGUCUGUUCUUGGGCUAAUACAGUGCUUUUUUUGUCACUGUGAUUUUGUAGUAUGGCUUAAAAUUAGAUAUUGUGAUAGAUCCAAGUUGGCUCUUUUUAUUCAAGAUUUCUUUGCCUAUUCAGGAUAUUUUGGAAUUUCUUAAUGAAUUUUAAGAUUGUUUUCGUAGUUAUAUAAGGAGUAUCAUUGGUAUUUAUAUCGUGGGCAUUGCAUUGAAUUUAUAAAUCAAUUUGAGUAGUAUGGAUAUUUAAAAAAUAUUAAUUCUCCUAGCUUAUGAACAUGGAGGCCUAUCUAUAUUCUAGUGUCUAAAGUUUAUUCAUCAUUAUGUAAUUUUUAUUGUUAAGUUCUUUCACCACCUUGCUAAGUUUAUUUCUAUGUUGUUUUGCGAGUGUAUAUAUCUCUCCUUUAAAUUGGAUUGCUUUUAUGAUUUAUUUCUAAGCAAACUCAUUUUUGCUGUAUACAUGGUUAUUAAAUUCACUUUACAGUUUUGAUGGAACCCUUUGGUUUGUUUAUGUACACAAUCAUAUCACAUACAAACACUGGCAUAAUGAUCUCUUUUUCUACUAAAUCUAUGUCUUUCAUUUCUCUAUCAAGUGAUUCUUAGUCUAAAGUUUCUAGUAAUACACUGGAGAAAAGCAGUGUACCUAGAUACUAAUUCUAUGUUACAACUUCCGUUCUUAUCGCCAACAUAAUAUUGACCAUGGGCUUGCCAUGUAUAACUGUUAUUAUAUUCAGACAUAUGAUCUCUAUGCCUAAUUUGUUCAUGAAUUUUAUAAUUAAACAAUAUUUAAUUUUAUUAAAUUGUCUUCUGCAUAUGUUGACGGUAUCAUAUAAUUUUAAUAUUCAAUCAUUUGUAUGGUAUAUUAAUUUGUGUAUGAUUACAAUUACUUGCAUCCUAGGACUGAAACCAUCUGUAUUUUCUCAAUAUUAUAUACCUUGAAGAUCUUUGAGUCUAUGACUAGUGAUAAUAGUGAUUUGUAGUUUAAUAUUGUGUGUGUCAUUGUUAGGUGUGGGCAACAGAGUAAUGCUGACCUACACUGACCUUGGUGCUUUGACUCCUUUGGGAUAGUUUGAGAGAUAUGUGUUUAUAGAUGUUGACCCCUCUUUAUCAAUCAGGUCAAAUUUAACAGUGAACCCAUCCAGUCAUGGGCUUCUCUUUGUUGGUGGAGUUGUUGUGGCCGAUUUGAUCUUAUUAGCUACGGUCUAGCUUUAUUUUUAUAGUCUUUUGAUUCAAUUGGAAAGAUUGUGUUCAAAAGUCCACCCAUUUCUUUUAGGUUUUUACCAAUUUAUUAGCAUUUAGUCUUCCAAAGUAACCCCUAAUGAUCUGAAUUUCUGUAGUAUUACUUGCAAUAUCUCUCUUUUCAUCUCUAAUAUUUAAACAUUUUAAUGAUUCUCUGUAAAUUUCACAUCAUGCACCCCAACGCCAUUCAUCUCCCCAUCCCUUCAUAUCCACCAUCCAUCCUUGCAACCACCAACCCU
rnacentral:lncRNA from 1 species